AGAGUUUGAUCAUGGCUCAGAUUGAACGCUGGCGGCAUGCCUUACACAUGCAAGUCGAGCGGUAACGCGGGGCAACCUGGCGACGAGUGGCGAACGGGUGAGUAAUGCAUCGGAACGUGCCCAGUAGUGGGGGAUAGCCCGGCGAAAGCCGGAUUAAUACCGCAUACGACCUACGGGUGAAAGCGGGGGACCGUAAGGCCUCGCGCUAUUGGAGCGGCCGAUGUCAGAUUAGGUAGUUGGUGGGGUAAAGGCCUACCAAGCCUACGAUCUGUAGCUGGUCUGAGAGGACGACCAGCCACACUGGGACUGAGACACGGCCCAGACUCCUACGGGAGGCAGCAGUGGGGAAUUUUGGACAAUGGGCGCAAGCCCGAUCCAGCCAUGCCGCGUGCGGGAAGAAGGCCUUCGGGUUGUAAACCGCUUUUGUCAGGGAAGAAAUCCUUUGGGUUAAUACCCCGGGGGGAUGACGGUACCUGAAGAAUAAGCACCGGCUAACUACGUGCCAGCAGCCGCGGUAAUACGUAGGGUGCAAGCGUUAAUCGGAAUUACUGGGCGUAAAGCGUGCGCAGGCGGUUUUGUAAGACAGAGGUGAAAUCCCCGGGCUCAACCUGGGAACUGCCUUUGUGACUGCAAGGCUUGAGUGCGGCAGAGGGGGAUGGAAUUCCGCGUGUAGCAGUGAAAUGCGUAGAUAUGCGGAGGAACACCGAUGGCGAAGGCAAUCCCCUGGGCCUGCACUGACGCUCAUGCACGAAAGCGUGGGGAGCAAACAGGAUUAGAUACCCCGGUAGUCCAA
rnacentral:rRNA from 1 species